AAGGGGAGGGAUAUCCUGAACACCUAGAGCACUGUAGCCUUGGCCUGCACGUUCCCUGGCUGCCCCUCGCAGGGACCCUGACUGGCAGCUGGCCUUCAGUCUCUGACAUUUGGAAAUGCUAACAUUCACACUGAAUAUUGUUGAAUAUCCAAGAAGAUUUUUUGUGAGGCGGGGGGGGAGGGGGAAGCAAACCUGUGCAACAGAGGAAGGAGCCUACUGGCUUAGAGAGACUGCAGCUCAGCUAAUAUUUGGGCUUAUUUCUUACCCAAACACACACAUUUCAACCCUCCCACUACAACUAGCCCUUCUACACGGUACUGCUUCCUGCGCCCAUGCAAUCUGUGUAUCACAAAUGGUGCUAACGCUUAAUACAAUAAAGGUUUGAAAUCCUAGAACAUAUGGCGUCUUCCUUUUAUUCCACAGCGUACACAUUCAUCUCCUUCACGCCCCCCCAGUUGAAUACAUCAUUUUGCUUUCUAUUGAUCUAGAAUUAUGUUUCCCUGCUUGGGAGUUUUAAAUCUUUCAUUCAACUAGGCUGAAACAUCUAAAUCUUAUUCCGCUGCAAAGGGGCAUUUAAUUGUUUACAAAAGGUGUUUUGUUGUUACAUCAGAUCCUCCCUAACUAUCAGUUUCUAGCUCUGCACCUGUAUGCCUAGCAAUUGCAUGGGGAUGGCAGUAAGAAAGAAUCCAUAAUAUCCUCUGGCUGUUAUAUUCAUCAGGGGUCAGGAUGAAUACCAGCUCCAUGACUGAAAUGCAUUCUGUCAGUGCGUAGAUUUGUUGGCCACAGGGAAAAGCUUGCCAACCUGUUUGAGAUUUUUGGAAGGAAAAAUUAGUCAAGCUUCAGUGCACGCAGAUAGGCGCUGGCUGAACCGUUGAAUUCUGACGGAUGCAGGAAAACGCCAAGAUACACAAAGAGGGCUCGUUUCUUUUCUUUUGAAAGUGCAUAGCAGCACAAAUCAUGAAGUAAGACCAAUGGGAAACUCUGCAAACUUGUCAAGUCAGUUGGAAUAGCCCCAGACACAUUCUGACUCGCUGCUCGCAUCCGAAAGGCAAGGCUGCAAUGCCGUGCUAGCUUAAUAAAAUCCACAAUGGUUCAUACUCAAAAUACUAAAUCAUUAAAUUUUACAUAGUCCAUUGUAUUGUGAAACCUGGAUGGUUUCCAGGUGCAAGUGAUUUGAAAGUAAAAAUGGGUCUGUUCAAUAAAAUGAAAUGACUUGAAGAAGUCUGAGUUUAUUGCUCUAUAAGUCUUAAUUGGCUUUGCAAGUAUCAGAGGUGACCUUGGCCUUCUCAGCUUAGCUAUUAUGGCUGUGUGCUGGGUUAUUACAAGAUAAUGACAGUGCUGUGUUAAUCAUAGUGCUUUCAGCAGUGCAGAAAAAAAGGGACUCAGAAGAAAUCAGCACUAGCCGUGGAGAGGAGGAGACAUUCACUAGAAUAGCUGUCUCUGCUUCUGAAAGGAAAUGGAGAAAUGCUCCAGUGAGAUGCAAAGAUCAAAACCUUCCAUGGGGGCCGGACACCCCAGGCCCCCAUGCGAGCCCCACACGGUCAUUAUUAAGAAUGCACUUACUGCUGCCCUUUCUGCUUUGGAUGUCUCCCUUUGUCAGGUGGGCCUGGCAACAUCACUUGGGAUAUUCACAUUUUCUCUCCUCCACAAAGCCUUUCUGUCUCACAGUGGGGAUGCAGUAAGGCCUGGCAGGCUGGUCCCUCUGCUGCAGCUUCCCAUUCCCUUGGCUCUUUACACUCUCAGCCCCACUUUUCCUAUUUAGUUUCUGGCAUAUACCCCAAAUAACCUUUUCUAAGCCACCAGUUUGCAUCCUUUGCCCCCUGCGCCUCUCCCAUCUCCUGCUUCUCUGUCACUGCAUCCCUCGCACUUAGCAGCUGAGUACUGAGCCAGACUCUCAUAUUAUAUCUCAAACAGUCUGCUCCGGACUCGACAAGCUGGCGGGAGGCUCAUUCUCUUCCGCCAUCCUGCUCCGUUAGAGCCUCCAUCUCUUAGCCAUCCCACCCACUCUUGCUGCAUGUUGUUAAUGCUCUCAGGAUUAUGAACUGGGGAACCUUUUGGGAAAGGAGGAGCCUGUACAGGACGGAUGGGCUCCACCUACACCAAAACAGAACCAGAUCGCUGGCAUAUAAAAUUCAAAAGGUCUUGGAGGAGUUUUUAAACUAAGGGCUGCGGAAAGCCUCCUUGGCCCUUAUGAUGAUCUCUACAGAGGGGACGGACUGGAGGAUGUCCAUCCCAACCCAUGGCCAAAGAGCCAGUGUGUGAUGAUCACCAUUCUGGCCAAGAUGAGGCAAUAAAUGAUCCAGGGACCUCCAGAGGGCAGGCAUGAGCCUCUACAGAGUUACCAUCCUAUUUGGACAGCUGAAGAUGCUGAUAGGUGUCCAAUGGACUUUCCAAAAGCACGUAAGCAGCUUAAGUAUCUAACUCCCAUUGAGUCCCACAGAUGUAAUCCCAUCCAAACUGCGCACUCACCUUGUCCGGUAAACAUUUCUGCAUGGACGCAACAGGCCUCUUCUAUGUAGCUCUGCUUCCCCUGCACUAUUGAACCAGAUUCUGCCCUCAUUUACACUGGUGUAAAUCCAGAGUAACUCCAGUCACAUGACUUCCAUUGAGGUACUUUGACCGUGGGAGGAAAGAGGUCUUUGACAGCCACCUCCCUUCCUCCUCACCUCCCUGACAACCCACAACCUUCCCUACAUAGUGUUAUCUUCUUGGAAGCGAAGGCAAAUGGCCUGCUAGCCUGCCUUGGUGUCUUUGGCAGAUGGCAGGCCCAGUUCCCUGCCUAGUGCCUUUGGGAAUUUAUCUCCUCCUAACAGGACUGACAAAACAAGUUAAAAAAAAACCAAAAACCCUUUGCUGGCCCGCCUGAAUGGAAUGUGCGGAAGCAUUGUGCUAUUCCAACCAUGUCACGUGGCACAAUACAAAUGACUUUCACUGGCUUUAAGGCAACACUAGCAUUGCUAUGAAAUUUGCUAAGCUCUGGGAGCACAGAACCACAGAGAAAGGAAUGAAGAUUUUUUUUUUUUUGCUUGAACUUUCAUGUCUUCAUCGCUAGGUAUAAAUCUCCAGUGGGAACACUGGUAACUAAAAGCAGCCCAUGGUGAUUUGGGUCAAUGCCAGAACAUUAUCUUGUGAUAACUAGUGUCACUUCCCUAUCGUGCAUUUAUUGCUUUAUCAGGGUAAACAUUAUAGGCCGCCUCAAGUGCCUGUAUGUUUUUCACUUCCUAUUAACCUGUGGAGUGGACGGCAGAGGCCUCUGUUUGUCUUUUAACUGCAGGCCUGUGACGUGUACGUCUCUGAAGUAUGAGAGAAUCAUUUCUCAGGUUCAUCUCAUCACAGGCUGUAACUGUCCAUGAGCAAAGAGGGAUGCUGGGAGCAAAACCCAGGCACCGGUGACAUUUAUCUCAAUUUAGCCUGGCCAGGAAAAGUAGUGAAGGAUGGCAUGCUGAAAGCAAAGCGUACUGCUUGAAUGAAUUUACAACGAGUAAUAAAAUACAGCAGGGGAGAGAAUUUACUGCAGUGGGAUGCGAUAAGGUAUGUGGACAAUCAAAGGGGGUACUUCAUUCCUAUGGACCUCAAAUCAGAAUUCAACAGAUAUAUUUUAUACUAACACACUUUAGACAUUUUUCAGAGUAACAGCCGUGUUAGUCUGUAUUCGCAAAAAGAAAAGGAGGACUUGUGGCACCUUAGAGACUAACCAAUUUAUUUAGACAUUUAUUAGACAUUUACUUUAGACAUUGUUUAAAGAAAAACACCUGUGUACUAAUUGUAUCUUACUUGUUAACCUGAAACCAUGGGCGGAGACAUUAUGUAACCUUUGACUAUUGGCUACUGUGCUUAUUUUGUCUUGCUGCUGGACCUAUCCAGGGGUUUGGGACUGCCUACCCUGUCAUUUCCCUCCGCCCAUGGAAAAUCCAUAUAAUCCACUGGGAUCAAUCGUUUGGCAGUGUCUCUGAGCCUAAUAAACAAGGUGACACUUUGCCAGCACUGUGCAUAAUAAACCCACCUGCUUGAUUCUA